rnacentral:rRNA from 1 species
AUGGUUUGGAGCUGCUCAAAAAAGGUGUCAUAUGGCGGGUGGGGGACGAGGAGCACAUCCGGACGUGGCGAGAUCCUUGGAUCCCACGACCAUCUUCCUUCCGGCCGAUCGCUCCAAAAGGCUCAUGCCGUCUCAAUCGUGUUUCAGCGUUUCUGGAUGCUAAUGGGGCAUGGAGGGCUGAUCGCCUCCGUGAAUAUUUUUGGGAGAUGGAUGUUCAGCAUAUUCUCAAAAUUCGAACUUCUCCAAGACAGUGGUCUGACUUUAUCUCAUGGUAUCCAGAGAAGAGUGGAGUUUUCUCAGUUAAAAGUGCAUACAAAUUAG